rnacentral:rRNA from 1 species
GAUCCUGGCUCAGAACGAACGUUGGCGGCGUGGUUGAGGCAUGCAAGUCGAGCGAGAAAGGGUUUCGGCCCGAGUAAAGCGGCGAAAGGGUGAGUAACGGAUAGUUAACGUACCUUGAUGAGGAGAAUAACCGAGGGAAACCUUGGCUAAUGCUCCAUAAGACCACGGGUCGCAAGACCUGGGGUAAAAGAUAGCGCAAGCUUUCUGCUUCCAGAGCGGACUAUCUACCAUCAGCUAGUUGGCGGGGUAAUGGCCCACCAAGGCUUCGACGGUUAUCCGGCCUGAGAGGGUGAACGGACACACUGGACUGAGACACUGCCCAGACACCUACGGGUGGCUGCAGUUCGGAAUAUUCCGCAAUGCAAGCAAUUGUGACGGAGCGACGCCGCGUGUGCGAUGAAGGCCCUUUGGGUCGUAAAGCACUGUCAGUGAUUACCAAAUUGGUAGGUGUUAACAGCGCCUGCCAUUGAGCAGUCACAGAGGAAGGAGCAGCUAACUACGUGCCAGCAGCUGCGGUAAUACGUAGGCUCCAAACGUUGUUCGGUGUUACUGGGCUUAAAGGGUCCGUAGGCGGUUCGACAAGUCAGGUGUGAAAUCCCGCGGCUUACCCGUGGAACGGCACUUGUUACUGUCAGACUCGAGGCACGCAGGGGUAACCGGAAUUCUGGGUGUAGCGGUGAGAUGCACAGAUAUCCAGGAGAAGGCCGACGGCGAAGGCAGGUUACUGGGCGUGUUCUGACGCUGAGGGACGAAAGCGUGGGGAGCAAACAGAAUUAGAUACUCUGGUAGUCCAUGCCCUAAACUAUGUAUACUAGAUAGGAGAGGUUCGAAUGCCAUUCCUGUCGACGAGAAACCAUUAAGUAUACCGCCUGGGGAGUAUGGUCGCAAGGCUGAAACUCAAAGGAAUUGACGGGGGCUCACACAAGCGGUGGUGCAUGUUGCUUAAUUCGAGCCAACGCGAAGAACCUUACCCGAGUUUGAAAUGCAGUGUUCAGUCUAUGAAAGUAGAUGGCUGUAGCAAUACAGCGAACUGCACAGGUGUUGCAUGGCUGUCGUCAGCUCGUGUUGUGAAAUGUCGGGUUAAGUCCCUUAACGAGCGAAACCCCUGUCCUUAGUUACCAGCACGUAAAGGUGGGAACUCUAAGGAGACUGCCGGUGAUGAACCGGAGGAAGGUGGGGAUGACGUCAAGUCUUCAUGGCCCUUACACUCGGGGCUGCAAACGUGCAACAAUGGACGGUACAAAGAGGACCAAGGCCGCGAGGCGGAGGAAAUCUCGAAAGCCGUCCCCAGUUCGGAUUGGAGGCUGCAACCCGCCUCCAUGAAGUCGGAAUCGCUAGUAAUCGCGGAUCAGCUACGCCGCGGUGAAUAUGUUCCUGAGCCUUGUACACACCGCCCGUCACCCCACGAAAGCUAGGGGCACCUGAAGACGUGUAUCCAACCUGGAAAGCGUCCAAGGUUAAUCUAGUGAUUGGGACGAAGUCGAAACAAGGUA